AACAACCCAGACCGCCAGCUAAGGUCCCAAAGAUUGGCUAAGUGGAAAACGAAGUGGGAAGGCUAAAACAGUCAGGAGGUUGGCUUAGAAGCAGCCAUCCUUUAAAGAAAGCGUAAUAGCUCACUGAUCGAGUCGUCCUGCGCGGAAGAUGUAACGGGGCUAAGCCAGUCACCGAAGCUGCGGAUAUCCGUAAGGAUAUGGUAGGAGAGCGUUCUGUAAGCCUGAGAAGGUGUGUUGAGAAGCAUGCUGGAGGUAUCAGAAGUGCGAAUGCUGACAUGAGUAGCGAUAAUGGGGGUGAAAAGCCCCCACGCCGUAAGCCCAAGGUUUCCUGUUCAACGUUCAUCGGAGCAGGGUGAGUCGGCCCCUAAGGCGAGGCAGAGAUGCGUAGCUGAUGGGAAGCAGGUUAAUAUUCCUGCACCGUCGUUAGAUGCGAUGGGGGGACGGAUCGCGGAAAGUCGUCCGGGUGUUGGAAGUCCCGGUUAUUGAUUCGAAGGAGGCUACUAGGCAAAUCCGGUAGCGUAAUCCAAGGAAUUGAAACGAGUGGCCUUGUGCCGCGAAGCGAUUGGAAGUGGUUCCAAGAAAAGCCUCUAAGCUUCAGUCUAACGAGACCGUACCGCAAACCGACACAGGUGGGCGAGAUGAGUAUUCUAAGGCGCUUGAGAGAACUCGGGAGAAGGAACUCGGCAAAUUGGUACCGUAACUUCGGGAUAAGGUACGCCCUUGUAUCUUGACUGGCCUGCGCCAGGAGGGAGAAGGGGUUGCAAAAAAAUGGUGGCUGCGACUGUUUAAUAAAAACACAGCACUCUGCUAACACGAAAGUGGACGUAUAGGGUGUGACGCCUGCCCGGUGCUGGAAGAUUAAAUGAUGGGGUGAGAGCUCUUGAUUGAAGUCCCAGUAAACGGCGGCCGUAACUAUAACGGUCCUAAGGUAGCGAAAUUCCUUGUCGGGUAAGUUCCGACCUGCACGAAUGGCGUAACGAUGGCCACACUGUCUCCUCCCGAGACUCAGCGAAGUUGAAAUGGUUGUGAUGAUGCAAUCUACCCGCGGCUAGACGGAAAGACCCCAUGAACCUUUACUGUAGCUUUACAUUGGACUUUGAACCAAUCUGUGUAGGAUAGGUGGGAGGCUUUGAAGCGUGAACGCCAGUUUGCGUGGAGCCGACCUUGAAAUACCACCCUGGUUUGUUUGAGGUUCUAACCUUGGCCCGUUAUCCGGGUUGGGGACAGUGUAUGGUAGGCAGUUUGACUGGGGCGGUCUCCUCCAAAAGCGUAACGGAGGAGUUCGAAGGUACGCUAGGUACGGUCGGACAUCGUGCUAAUAGUGCAAUGGCAUAAGCGUGCUUAACUGCGAGACAGACAAGUCGAGCAGGUACGAAAGUAGGACAUAGUGAUCCGGUGGUUCUGUAUGGAAGGGCCAUCGCUCAACGGAUAAAAGGUACUCUGGGGAUAACAGGCUGAUUCCUCCCAAGAGUUCAUAUCGACGGGGGAGUUUGGCACCUCGAUGUCGGCUCAUCACAUCCUGGGGCUGUAGUCGGUCCCAAGGGUAUGGCUGUUCGCCAUUUAAAGUGGUACGUGAGCUGGGUUUAAAACGUCGUGAGACAGUUUGGUCCCUAUCUGCCGUGGGCGUUGGAAGUUUGAGAGGGGCUGCUCCUAGUACGAGAGGACCGGAGUGGACGAACCUCUGGUGUACCGGUUGUCACGCCAGUGGCAUCGCCGGGUAGCUAAGUUCGGGAAAGAUAACCGCUGAAAGCAUCUAAGCGGGAAACUUGCCUCAAGAUAAGACUUCCCGGAGCCUUGAGCUCCCUGAAGAGUCGUUCGAGACCAGGACGUUGAUAGGCUGGGUGUGGAAGCGCAGUAAUGCGUUAAGCUAACCAGUACUAAUUGCUCGUGAGGCUUGUCU
rnacentral:rRNA from 1 species